rnacentral:rRNA from 1 species
UGGGGAAUAUUGGACAAUGGGCGAAAGCCUGAUCCAGCCAUGCCGCGUGUGUGAAGAAGGUCUUCGGAUUGUAAAGCACUUUAAGUUGGGAGGAAGGGCAGUUACCUAAUACGUGAUUGUUUUGACGUUACCGACAGAAUAAGCACCGGCUAACUCUGUGCCAGCAGCCGCGGUAAUACAGAGGGUGCAAGCGUUAAUCGGAAUUACUGGGCGUAAAGCGCGCGUAGGUGGUUAGUUAAGUUGGAUGUGAAAUCCCCGGGCUCAACCUGGGAACUGCAUUCAAAACUGACUGACUAGAGUAUGGUAGAGGGUGGUGGAAUUUCCUGUGUAGCGGUGAAAUGCGUAGAUAUAGGAAGGAACACCAGUGGCGAAGGCGACCACCUGGACUGAUACUGACACUGAGGUGCGAAAGCGUGGGGAGCAAACAGGAUUAGUACCCACGUAGUCCCUGAGCGGGCUGGCAAGGCGCAU